UCUCUCCCCCAGCGGCCGAUUCUUCCCGAAGCGGCGAUGACGAGGUCUGGUCUUCGAGUCUUCCAGUCUUCCAGUCUUCAUUCUUCGGUCUUCAGUUGGCAACGACAAUUCUUAUCGCGGAGAAAGGGGCAGGGGCGCAGAAGAGGGGCCCCAUAAAUGCGUUCCAACUAUAAACGUAAUCAAGAGUAUUAUAAAAAAAAAACUGAAUGACUCUAUGGAAACACGAAAAAGAGACGCAACAGACUGCAGAGCGAACGAGAGGGCGAUACAGCCUCAGGAUGUGCCGCGGCGCAGGGGGCGUGGCAUCCUUCAAUCAGCACUGGUGCGAGCGGGACGGCCGAAGGGCAAAGUGCAGAAGUGGCGUGAUUCUUAUUAUUCGCUCUCUCGCUCUUGAUCGUUGAGGAUGAUUUGUAUGGGCCUUACGCCGACUUCUCUGAUCUCGGGGAGUGCAUCACUCUCUCCUGCCUUGCACUCCGCUGAUUAGGGUCUGCGUCAGAGCAUCGCAUCUGGAGGUUAUAUCAGUUUAUUAGGAUAGAAGCGCCGAGUGCACUACGGCGCACCGUCACAAAGCGCCUCGAAAUUAUUCUGAAAAUAUUCCCAAUAAAAAUGUAGUAUAGCAGCCGAAUAACAGGAAUCCUAAUGAAGAUUUACUUUGUUGCACAGAACUUUCAGGAUUUAAAUACAAUCUUCCAUCUAUUGAACCAAAAACUGUGUUGAAAAAAGAUAUCGUUGAUGCUACAUAUCAUCUUUUGUUUGGAAAGUUUCACAGCAGUUAACAAGAGCACAAGGUAGAAACAUUUAAAAACAUGAUAUUUGAGAAAACAAAACACGGGUAAAUAAGAGUAAUCGCGGGAACAGGUAUAAAACUCAGUUGGGAACUGAUCGAUUGACGAUCGCUGAUAAAGCUAAUGGUGGCGCCUAAUGGUCGCCGCUCCGUGCCGCUUCCUCAGCCACCUGAUCUCCCACUUCCACUCGGCUGGCCUCGCACACUCGUUUGGCCUUGACUUUGGCGUUAUCGCUAUCACCCAGUGGCGUCGAUGGGGGGCAGUAGGUGCUCCGCAGAUGGGGAGCAGAGCGAGGUGGAGGAGGGUGCCUGCAUCAGAGCGAGAUCGAAGUGCGGCUGCUCGCAGAGCGUGAGACUCUGGCUGAGGCGACGAGCGAUCACUUGGACCAUGUGCCUGGCCAGCGGCGGAGCGGUCAUCACGCGGCGCAGGAGUGACCAGGUGGAGCUGAUGAGGGAGCCGGCGCAGUGAUCCUGGUGGUGUUGCUGCCCCUGAGGCGAGAGAUGCGACUCAUCCUUUGGCUGAUUCUCCUGAGUCCUGUUGUUGGCCCCUUCUUGGGGAGACUGCUCCUGAUUCCUGGUGUUCUGUUUCUGCUUCGCCUGCUCCUGCUUCUUCUUGGCUCGCCUCUGGGGCUUUUGCCUUCGAUUCCUGCGCUUCUUAUCCAUCUGAUCCUGGGGCUUCUUCUCCUGCUGGCCCUGAUGCUUCAUAACCUUCAGAUUCCUGUGGGUCCUCUCCAGUUCUCUGGCCCUCUCCGCCCGCAGCUUCUCCCUCUCCUCCUGCUGGUGGAUCCAGGCGAUCAUGAGCCCUUCCUUGACCCUCAGUCCCUCCCUGAGCAGGCUGUUCCGGUGCAGGAAGUGCAAGGCAUCGUCGUAGCCCUGCUGACAGAAGUUGGCCAUGAAGUCCGCCCUCCCCGGCAGCAGGAUGCGCACCAUGCGCCGCAGGUUCCGCCUGGACAGCCGGAUGCACGUGUUCGCCCAGUUGAUGUUCAGCUGCAGCAGGUGGGGGUUCUGGUCCCGCGGGCAUAUGUCGCUCUCGCCGCAAAAGGGGCUCACGGUCACCGUGUGCUCGUCCAGCAGCGGCAGGUUGUUGGAGAAGGCGCCGUCCAUGUAGCGAACUCCUCUCACCUGGCGAGACAUAGAUAAACAAAAUGAGCACCUGGGCUUCGAGUUCGGAUUCUGGGAAAAUUGAUUUUGAUUUAGACCAUGUUUGAGUUACUUAAUUUCCUGCACAGAAAAUAAAAAGGGGUGUUAACUAGGCUAAGAGGUAAUAUAUUAUAAAUUUUUUUUGAAUUUGUAAAAGAAUUCUUUAAGGGUUUCUGUAUUAAACUAUACAAAAUUUAAUCAAAGCAAA